rnacentral:rRNA from 1 species
AGAGAUUUAAUAGUCGAACAGACUAACCCUAAAAGACUUCUACAUCCCUUGGCUCCUCUAGUCCAACAUCGAGGUCGCAAACUCUCUUUUCGAUAAGAACUCUAAAAGAAAAUUACGCUGUUAUCCCUGCGGUAGCUUUUCUUUUAAUCAAUUAUUGGAUCCUAACACAUAAGUAUUAUAUUUUAAAGGAAGUUUAUUAUAUUCCUCCGUCGCCCCAACAAAAAAUUCCCAAAAGAUAUUCUUAUAAAAUUUUAAGCUCGACAGGGUCUUCUUGUCUUUCAAUAAUAUAUAAGCCUUUUCACUUAUAAGUUAAAUUCUAAUAAUAUAUCCCGAGACAGCCGAGCCCUUGUUAAACCAUUCAUACCAGUCCUUAAUUAAAAGACAAAUGAUCAUGCUACCUUUGCACAGUCAGGAUACUGCGGCCGUUAAUUUAGUAAAAUACACCGGGCAGGCUAGACUCUAUAUAUUUACAUAGAGCC